rnacentral:rRNA from 1 species
AUUGAACGCUGGCGGCAGGCCUAACACAUGCAAGUCGAGCGAGCGGCGGACGGGUGAGUAAUGUAUGGGGACUGCCCGAUAGAGGGGGAAAACUACUGGAAACGGUAGCUAAUACCGCAUACUAUUGGAUAACUCAUUUGGGAUUAGCUAGGAGGUGAGGUAAUGGCUCACCUAGGCGACGAUCCCUAGCGGGUCUGAGAGGCUGAUCAGCCACACUGGAACUGAGACACGGCCCAGACUCCUACGGAGGCAGCAGUGGGGAAUAGUGCACAAUGGGCGAAAGCCUGAUGCAGCCAUGCCGCGUGUAUGAAGAAGGCCCUAGGGUUGUAAAGUACUUUCAGUCGGGAGGCGUUACCGACAGAAGAAGCACCGGCUAACUCCGUGCCAGCAGCCGCGGUAAUAC